rnacentral:rRNA from 1 species
CGCAAACGAUAGUGGCUCCAAUCCUGGACUACACGACUGGCGCAGGGGUGAGUAACGCGUAUACAUCUACCUAUUACUGGGGUAUAGCCCGAACAAAUUUAAAUUAAUCCCCCAUACGCUAUAGAUCUGGCAUAAAAAUUAUGUUAACUCUUAAGCUUGAAUAAAUGAAUAUGCCUCCCAUUAAUUAGUUGGUAAGGUAACGGCUUACCCAGGCAGCGAUGGGUAGGGGUCCUGAGAGGGAGAUCCCCCACACUGGUACUGCUACACGGACCAGACUCCUACUACAGGCAGGCAGUGAGGAAUAUUGUACAAUGGAGGCAACUCUGAUCCAUCCAUGCCGCGUGCAUGAAGACUGCCCUAUGGGUUGUAAACUGCUUUUAUACAGGAAGAAACCUCCCGACGUGUCGGGAAUUGACGGUACUGUAUCAAUAAGGAUCGGCUAACUCCGUGCCUCCAUGCCCGGUAAUACGGAGGAUCCGAGCGUUCUCCCGAAUCAUUGGGUUUAAGGGGUCUGUACGCGGGCUGACAGUCUGAUGGUCAGAUUCUGUCGCUCCCCGAUUCAAUUGGCGUUGAUACUGUUGGUCUGGAGUCAUUAUGAGCUGGUUAGAAUGAUUAAUGUACCGGUGAAAUGCAUAAAUGUUACUCAAAAUACCGAUAGACAAGGCAGAUCAGUAGUAAUGUGCUGACACUCUGGGACUAAAGCGUGAGGAGCGAACAAGAUUAGAUACCCUGGUACUCUGGUCACUAAACGAUGGUCACUAUCUGUUCGACCCAAUUGCGGUUUGAGUGGCUAAGCGAAAGUGAUAAGUGACCCACCUGGGCAGUACGUUCGCAGAAUGAAACUCAAAGGAAUAGACAGGUGGCCCGCACCCGCGCUGGAGCAUGUGGUUUAUUUCUAUGAUACGCGAGGACGCUUACCCUGGCUUACCUGUAAUCUGACGUAGCAUCGUAAACAGAGUAGUUUCUUGCUGACUGAUGACACGCUGCAUGACAUGGUUUGUCAUCAGCUUCUGCAGCUCGGUGUCAAGAUUAAGUCGUAUACGUAGCGCACCACUGUGCUCAGUUGUCAUCGAUUCAAGUCGAGGUACUCUAGCAGACUGCGAUGCUACCGGUGAGGAAACGUGAGAAUGACGUCGAAUCAUCCAGUCAUACGUCCUGGACGACUACGGUCUACAUGCAAGGACGGAAAGCAGCAGUUGCAAAGACGAGGCUCCAACUACAAGUCGGAUCCGGACUGACCUCAUCUCCGCUAAGACCUGAAUGGCACUGGAUUCCAAUUAAACACGUU